CAUCAGAUAAAGUCAACAAACAAAGGACCCAAGAAAAUAAUAUUGCUGCAACACCAAAUAGAAAUGAAGAUUAUGCAAUGGAGGACAUUAUUGAAGAAUUACCAACAGAUAAUCAAGCAAUAUUAAAAAUUUUACAAAAUGUUGUGGCAACCAGGAGAAUGGUAGAACAGCAAAAUCAAUUUUUAAAACAAUUAGAGUCUCAAAUCAAUAUCGAUGCUGCUUCAAACGCAGUUGUUGCAACAAACCCAAACAUAGAGCAUAUGACGAAUAAUACAAUUCCCACAAAGCCUUUUAAUAAAUAUAGAAAAUUGUUAGAGUUUGACGAUGACUUGAGAGCAAAUAUAGUCGCAUCAAAACAAUUAGAAAUGUUUUUCUAUUUAUUAGGAGGACAUACUGCUCAAAUGCAAUUAAAAAUGGAUUGGAGAAAAUGUUUACCAACAAGCUGGGGUCUAAAUGCUCUUGGUUUGGACGCAAAGGAAAUUAUCAGUUGAACUCAUUAUAUAUAAUGGAAAUUUUAAAAAAUGCAGUAAGAAAACAUUUCCAUACGUACACAAACAGAAACUUUCAAGAUAAUGUAUCCACAUGGUUUAAAUACGCAAAUACUAGACGUCUGAGAGAAAAAGCAGGCCAAGAGAAACGACAGCAAAACAUCGACCAAAAUAUCGAUGAAUAGAUACAAUAAGGGGGAAUAGAUAUAAAGGGAAGAAAGUGAGACCAUAUCGAUCGGUAAAUAGUGUAACGGUAAUGAUCUCUCCCCUUUUCGAAAGAGCAUUAUAGUCACGUUGUGGAGAAACGAACCAUUCUUAAUAUAUAUUUGACAAAAUAUAAGUAGAUAAUUAUAUUGCGAUUCAGAUUUAUCAGAUUGAUUUUUUGGAAAUAAUGUUUUUGAGUUUUCGUUAUAAUGUAAGUUACAAUAAGAUAUUGUUCUUUUUUUCUUUUUUUCUUUGUUUUUUCAUUAAAAUGUUUACAAGUUGUACGUUUUUUUUAUAAUGAUUUAUCCUCUUUUUGAAAGAGCAUACGUUGAAGAGAAACAAACCGUUUAUUUUAAUAUAUAUAUAUA